GCCAAAGGAGUUGGCAGCGGCAAUGAAAGCAUCGUAUGUAUAGAAACCAUUGCCAGGGCAGUUAGCAUCGUUACGAUGCUUUAAUAUCUCAUUGAACAGGUCGCGGCUGAUAAGCGGACUGAUAUCAGCCAAGCCCCUUAAUGCAGAUGCCAAAACGAACAGAAUCAGAGCCAAGAACCUCAUUUUUUUUUUCUGCUUGGCUAGCUACUGAAGUGUUUUACGCGUGGGAUGUGGAGUCCCAUGUGAAGGAUCAGGCUGGUAUUUAUAGAGUGGGUCAGGAGAGAGAGAGAUCCUAACAAAACCUUAUUCUUCUUAAUAUUCUAGAGACGAAGGCGGCCUUUAUCUGUUAGGCUAAAAACCUCCAAUCCAAUCACACCAGCGGAAACGAAAUCAAACAAUAAAAUCAAACAGACAAGAGACAACAAUUUAACGUGGUUCGGUCCAACUGACCUAUAUUUACGGAUGAGAAACAAGAUUCACUAGUUGUAGAGAAUUACAAACUGACAUCAAAUCAUCAACCUCACUCAACAAUCAAUACUCAUAAGAUACUUUCAGUCUCCUCUAGUCCUAUUAAGUAUUCUCAAUCCAAACAAACCCAAACCCAAACCCAAACCCUUGUGCACCCUUUCAACAUAACCAAACACAUAACCAUAUGCUCCCAUACAUCAUACCUAUGUGGACCCUCUCAGUCUCCUUUAGUCCACUCAUAAAUAAACAUACACACCCAUAAGACGUAGAGCCCCAAUAUUUCUAUGGGGUGUCUAUCCCACAAAAUCCUAUAGCUCUCUUACAUCUUUUUCUCAUACCUAACCCUGUAGAGACUUCACGUAUUUAUAACCAUGCAAACUUGCCCAUUAAGAAUCACUCUCCUCUUAGAAUUCUUCUCCUGUAAGUCAAACUUGCCUAUUAAGAAUCCAUUUCCUUUUAGAAUUUUUCUCUUCUCUUGCAAGUCAAACUUACCUAUUAAGAAUCUUUUUUCUCUUAUAAUUAUUCUUUUGCAAGUCUUCUUGUCCAUCAAGCAAUAUCUGAAAAAUCUCAAACAAAUCGCAAACAAAUCUCUUACGAGAUUUGAGUCAUUAUUCCCAACAUUAUCAUCACAAAGUAGAAGUAUGAUGAUUGCUUGAAAGCUUGUAUACCUGACAAAUAUGAGAAAGGGCGAACAGGUAUCGUUCUUGGACCGUUUUCUUAGUCCAAGCUUAUCUUGACAUGACUUAACCAAGUUGGAAUAAGUUGAAAUUCCAUUUUGUUAGAAUUCAUAUGUUUUUGUCUCUGCAAGUGGCGUUGAUUGCAGAGAAAAUAUUCAAGCUGAGCAGCCCGAAAAAAGAAAACAAAUCUUAUCCUUGUCAGAUUACAAAAUUAAGAAAUAACAUGCAAAAACCUAGAUAGCUACGGAAGUACUUGAAGAAAAUGAGGCAGAGCAUCCAUUUUGGGAUAUACUUGAAGCUGGCCGGAUGAGUUUUAACACUAGUUCGACCGAUCUCUCCCUUACGAUAAUCUCCAAAUCCUGUUUUUAGAAUUAUAGAGCAAUUUUUUUUCAUAUUACUGUUUAGUAGUAAACAAAUUAAACAUAAAAAGGCCAAAAGUUUUUCAAUUUAUAUAUCUUCAACCAUCCGAUUCUUUUAGUAAUUGCUUCAUAAGAUAAUGGACAAGUUAGAAGAAAUAACUACAUAUACAGAAUAAGAUUUCUUCAAUUGAGAGUUGAAACAGAGAAUAUCAAAAUUAGUAGGGUUAAUGUGUGAUUGAGCCCUUGAACUAUAUUAUUUCUUAUGAUUUUAUACAUAAAAUCUAUAUAUAAAAAUUCGACCUCCAAAAGUAUUAAUAGCGAUAAACUUAAAUACCCCUAUAAAUUUUUAAAUUAACAAAUUCAUCCUUAAAUAUAUAGCUUUUAUUAAUUUAUUUAAAUUUAAUUUAAAUCAACUAAAUUUUCAAAUAGAGUUUAUAUAAAAUUAAACUACUUAGAAUAUUUAAAUUUUAAUUUCAAAAGUGUUACAAGUUAUUGUCUAAAUAUUUUUAGUAAAUAUUUUUAUAAAGUCUAAUAUAAAUAAAUUUUUUUAUUACUAGACUUCUUUUUAUAAUUAGACUUAAAAAGUGUUAAAAAUAAUUGAUUAAAAUACCAUGGGUAAUUUUUUUUUUAUAAAUUUUAAUUUAAAUGACUUUUUUAUUAAUUGACUUUUUUUUUUAUAAGUACAACGAUUUAUCACAUUAAAUGAAAAUAUAAAUAAAAUGAGAUUAAAACUUACUGUGAAUAAGAAUAAACAAUUAUAUAGAUUUUAUUUAUUUAAUUGUUGUACAAACAAUUUUAUAUAUAUAUAUAUAUAGUUUAUAUUGAUAACUAAAUUAAUUAAAAAUACUCAUAUUAAGUAGUUGAAGUGUAUUUGUUUUCUUCUUUUUUAUUUUUACCUUUCAAUUUUUUGUUCCAAUAUGUUAACUAUAUAUGUAUAUUAGUGAUUUUAUUAUUUAUAUGUUUUAUGAGUUGAUCAUUUAAUGAUUGAUAAUAUAAUUAAAUCUUUUUAGUCCCAUGAAAUAAUUCUUUAAUAUAUCAUUUUUACAAUUUAGUUUGACAUCUAUAAUUAAUGUCUCUUUUGUAUUUUUUAUCUCUAGAAUUUUAUAAUUAUUAUUCUUAUGAAUCAAAAUUAAUAUCAAAUCAAAUGCAAAUCAAUUGCAUCAUCUCUACCAACAAUUAACAUUAUGUGAUUCAUUGAACAUUUUAAUUAGACUUUUCACAUUUAGAAUUAGAUGAUUCAGGAGGUUGCACAGCUACUAAUAACUCAAGAUUGGAUAUAUGUCAUAAGAAUUCGAUCCGUUAAAUUGUCAUAUAAAUUAUUCACCUUGAUUGAAACAAUAAUUGACAAUUUUCUCUCAACUCUCAUCUUAACAUGCAUAUAUAUGACUAAUUUAUAUCUUAAGAUUAUUUAAUCUUUCUCAAUUGUAUUAAAUUACUUGCUUUUUUUUUUUUUUUUGCCAUCCAAGUGGUUAAAUAACCUCACAUGAAUUAUUCUAAACAAAAAAUUAUCAAAUGAAGUAAAAUUAAUCGUUUUUAGUAAAUUAUUUUGAAGUGUGACAAAAUUCAUUGGAAUUAUUUUUUUGAAAGUGUUUAUGCCAAAAUUAUAUUCAUUUGUGAACAUUUAUGUUGUUAAUACUGAAAAAUGAUAUCAUUAUAAAUUAUAUAGGUAUUACAUAGCAAGUUUAUUAUUUUUAGAAAUGAAAAUUUCUUAAGAAAACAUGACAAGUACCAAGAUUAGGAAUGUAUUUUAUUUUAGUUUUUAAAAUUAUGUAUUUUAAUAUUUUUAUAUAGUAAAAAUUUAUGUGUAAUAAAAUUUUUAGAUAAAAAAAUUAAACUUUCAGUUGAUAGAACAUAAAACUACAUUCAAUUGAUGGAAGUAUCUAUGGAAGAUUAUUGUAAGCUGAAAAAUUAGACAAAAAAUUGAUAGGAUGUGCAUAACUUUAUUUUUUUCAUAUGACGAAAAAAGUUAAUGCUAUAUGUUGUUCCAAUAUGAAACUCUUUUAUUUGGAGAAAUAUUGUGUACUCUAUUAUUUUCUCUUUUAUAUCAGUUGACGAAUGUUCGCUGUUAUAUCAAAAUUUUUAAAGUUGCCAUAUUAGGUAAUAUUUGUUCAAAAAAAUUGAAAUUCAUCAAGUUAAUUAUCACUUUACAUUUAAAAUAAAAAAUUAUUAUAAAUUAUAAUUUAACUAAACUUAAAAGUGAUUUAAAGGCAUUUAUUAGCAAAAUUCAUUCGAUAAAUCUUUAUUUAAUUAUGCAUUUAGUAUUUCAAUUAUUUUGAAUUUUGAAUUUUUAUAAUUUUGAGUUAGAUUUUAGACUUUUGAUUAGCUCCCAAUUAGGUUGAAUCAAGUUUUAUUAUUUACUUUUAUUCAUAGUAUACUCAAUUAUUCGCUUAUAAACCUGAACAAAUUUAACUUCAUAAUUGUUAUAUACUUCUUUUUGUUUAAAAAACUAGAUUUAUAUCAUUAUAAAUUUAAAUAAAAAAAGUAUAUUCAAUUACUUAUAAUUGUAGUUUCACUUUAGAAAUAAUCUUGAAAUUAAUUAACUAAUUCAACUAUAGAGACAAUAAAAAUUAACCGUUGAAGAUGAAGGGAAAAAACCUUAAAUAAGAAACUUUUAAAUUGUUAUGGAAGAUGAAUAAUUAAUUUUGGAUUUUGAUUGGGUUACUAUUUCAAUUCAAAUUUUGUUUAUAUUCAAUCAUUUUGGGUUUUAAAAAACUACUAAGUUGUUAACUUUUUAAAAUCAAUUGAAAUCAAAUGAAGUUAGUUUAUUUUUACAAUUAUAUGUAUAUUAUUUUUAAUUAAAUUAAAAAAUUAAAAUGAGUAAAAAUUUAAUUUCUAUUCUAUUUUAAUUUUAAAUUAUUUCAAGUUUGAGUUGAUUAAUCAAUGUUAUUUUAGUUAUACUUUUAUAAUAAUGGUAAUAAAUUUCAAAAUAUAAUGAUAACAUAACACAAUAAUAAUUUAAAUGUAAAAGUGAUGGAGAUUCUAUUGAUAAUUUUAGAAAAAAAAAAAAUCUUUAUAUCCAAGUUUUACAGAGAUUAAAUUAUGUAUCUUUUUUUGAGAAAUUUUAAAUUUAUAUUACAAAAAUGUUAAUCUAGAUCAACGUGUUUAUAAUCAUUUAUUUGUUAAUCAAGUUAUUGCUAUAAGAGUUGAGGAAAAUAAUUCAAAACUUGCAAAUGAAAGAGAUCAUAUCAUAAUUCAAACUCAAGCAUGAAGACAACAUAAAAUUAAACAUUAUUUGGGUUAUUAUGUCCCCAUAUAAUAUUCUUUACUCUUUCCAAGUGAAGAAGUUAAUUGCCAUCAAAACAUCAAAAGAGUUAUUUUGAAUAAUAAUAAUAAUAAGAAUGACACAACAAUUAAAAAUAUAUAAUCUUUUGAUUUAUUAGAAGAAAUUUUUUAUGAAAAAUGUGAAAUAUUCUUUACUUUUUCCAAAUUGAGAUGUUGAUUAGCAUCAAAAUAUUAAAAAAAAAAAAAGUUAUUUUGAAUGAUAGUAAUAUGAAUGAAGCAACAAUUAAAAAUAUAUCAUCUUUUUAUUUAAUAGAAGAAAUUUUUUAUAGAGAAUAUGAGAAAAUGAGAAAAUUAGCCACAAUCUCUAUAAAUUUUUUUGUAUGAUUAACUAUGGUUUAAAUAUUAUUUAAAAGAAAUAAAUUAUAUUUAAUGCAUUCUUUUAUUAAUAUUUAAAAGAAGACAACACAUUAAUUAUAUUUUUAAAAUAUAUAUUAUUUUAUUCCGUAUCAUUAAACCAAUCUUUUAAUGCAUAAAAAAAGGGACCAAUCUCUUAAAUGAAGUCGAAGAAAUUAUUGUACUUUUAUGUUAGCAAGGAAGUUUCCAAAGAAAGGGACUUUUUUUUUUUUUUUUUUUUUUUUUUUAAGGAAAUGGGAUUUAGAUAUUCUAAAUUAGCAUAAAUUAUGCGAUAAAAAUAUAAUAUACUAAAAAAUAAAAUUUAUGAUUAUUUUAAAUUUUAAAAUUUGUUAAAACUUUAUUUAAUUAACGAUGAAUUUGAAAUUCUAAACAAAAUAAAGAGGAAACUCAAACCAAUUUUCUUUUUAAUAUAUUAUCUGUAAGACAUAAGUAUAUUGAAUUUUAACUAAAUUUCACAAUUUUUAAUUUUUCAUUUUCGUAAUUUGUAAAUAUACAUAUCAAACCAUAUAUUUAAUCUGUCAAUAAACAUGGCAUAAGUGGAUUUUAUGUUAUAUUUUGACUUAGUCGUGUUGGAAACCCUUUCUUCAAAAAUAAAUAUUUGUUAAUGAAGUCUUGAUUUAAUGAUAAGAAAAAAAAUCUUAAAAUUUGAAGUUUUAAAUUUAAGUCUUUCUAUUUUAAUUGUAUAUUAAUUUAUUAAUUAAUUGUUUAAUAAUUACAACAUAAAAAAAAACUAAGAGAAUUAACACAUCAUAUCACCAAAAUAUUGAUCACCAAAUUAAGGACGAGCUCCUUUUAUUUAUUGAUAUUGAUAUUAUUCCAGAUCAACAUGGUAAAUAUCUCACAUACAUAUAUGAUGAUAUAUAUGUACUAGCAGCGGAUUUUUUUUUUAUUUUAAUAAUUAUAAUAAUGUGAUUGAUAAUUGCUUUUCUUUCAUAAUUAAUUAUUAAAGUGCCUAAGCAAAGGGCCUUUGAUUGUAGCAGUCGAGGUUGUUUCCGUAGCUCACUUUCAAUAUGUCACAAUAUCUCUUAUAGAAUCCGAUUCGAUCCUCAACCUGAGGGUUAGGUCCUUUGCCGCAUUCGAUGCCACCAUUGAUGAUGUUGGUAAUGACCCCAUAUCCAGGGACCCGACCGGCGGCCGUGUCUCCGGCGGAUGGCUUCCACUGACCAGUAAUGACAUCGUGACACGAAGGUUUUGGUGACUGUGGUGUCAUCCAGAACCAAAGAGCUGUCUUGAAAGAAAUGGUCGGGUCCCUUGCCACCGCAUCGGGGUCGUUCAGCAGAUCAACGUUUAUUGCUUUUCCUGCUGGACCAUAGUUGUAGUUGCUGCCAAAGUCAAGGUCAAGGUCAAGUCAAGAUAUAGUAAGGAUUUUCAUUUUUCAACAAGCAAUUUUCCCCCCAUAUUCCCAGCUUUUUAAUCCUAUCAUAUUUUAUUAUUUUAAGGGUAAAAUAUGUUUUUAAAUUCAACGAACUUUCUAUUAAAAAGAUUAAACACACUAUGCUUAUGUUUGUGAUUAGUCAAUAGUUAUGCAUGGAAAAUGAAAACCAAAUGAGCUAUAUAUGCUUGUUGUUUAACAAAAAUGCCUUAAUAGUAAUUUUCUUGGGUCAGAACUCUGAAUCUAGUUAAUUCACUCGAAACAAGUACACUUACAAUGAGAUCUGGAUUGGACCACGGCCAAAAUAUUUUUUACCCGGUGCACAAGGCCAUUGUUGACUUGCAACACAGUAAUCUCCAGGAUUGCCCUGUUCCCGAACGAAGCAAUAUCCCCAUGCGUAUGGACCAUCCGGUGCAGUUGCCCACCCACCUAUACAAGAAUUGUGAAGUACCCCUUUAAUUAUGCCGUCCAUUAACUAUUUGCCAACUAAAUAUUAAUGUCUGCCAACCAUUAACCACGCAUGCAAGACUAAAGUUAUGGAGAUAAUAGAGACAAUCAAGAAGUUAAUUUUUUUUAAUGAGAAAAAUGAACCUGUAGUUUCAUGGGAAGUUUGAGCCAAGAACGCAGCAAUUUCUCUUUUACGAGUAUCAACAUCGCCUGUGGUUCCGAAAGCGCCAAAGGAGUUGGCAGCGGCAAUGAAAGCAUCGUAUGUAUAGAAACCAUUGCCAGGGCAGUUAGCAUCGUUACGAUGCUUUAAUAUCUCAUUGAACAGGUCGCGGCUGAUAAGCGGACUGAUAUCAGCCAAGCCCCUUAAUGCAGAUGCCAAAACGAACAGAAUCAGAGCCAAGAACCUCAUUUUUUUUUUCUGCUUG
rnacentral:lncRNA from 1 species